UACGGAGGGUGCAAGCGUUGUCCGGAAUCACUGGGCGUAAAGGGCGCGUAGGCGGCUCAUGAAGGCUGUGGUGAAAGUCCGGGGCUCAACCUCGGAUCGGCCGUGGCGACUGGUGGGCUGGAGCACUGUAGAGGCGGGUGGAAUUCCGGGUGUAGCGGUGGAAUGCGUAGAGAUCAGGAAGAACACCAGCGGCGAAGGCGGCCCGCUGGGCAGUGGCUGACGCUGAGGCGCGACAGCGUGGGGAGCAAACAGG
rnacentral:rRNA from 1 species